UGAAGAAUAUAUUAGAAUCAUAACAGUAAAAGUACUACACAAUAUUGUACAAAAGAUUUUUUCCUGUCGAUUUUCAACUUAUGUGUUUUGGUUGAAUUUCUGAAUUUGACAUUUUGUUUGAUAGGAGGAAUGAUUGGUAACCAAGGUAUUUUACUGUAAAGAGGAGAUUUCAUGAACCUUUGAAGGUCAAAUGAAAACUAGGUUAAUUUUUAAUGAUCACCCUAAAGAUAAGUAAAUAAAUGCCAGAUGACCGAUGCGGAAGAAAACAGUGAAACUGAAAGACUACAGAAGACAUAUGCAAAGAUGAUGAGAGAUAGUUAUAGGAUUUUGAAUGGUACAAGAGAUGACAAGGGAACACUACGACUAGCAGAAUGCUGCGUUGUAUAUCCUAUCCAACGCAGGCAAAUGGAAAUAUUGAAGGCAGAAAAUUAUAAUGACGAUGGUGAUAUACAGUAAUGAGUGUUUUGUAUAUUUAUAAAAACAUCAUUGACUUAAUAAAUGUUCUACGUACAUGUAAAGAA